rnacentral:rRNA from 1 species
AGAUUGAACGCUGGCGGCAUGCCUAACACAUGCAAGUCGAGCGGCAGCGCGGGGGCAACCCUGGCGGCGAGCGGCGGACGGGUGAGUAACACGUGAGCAACCUGCCCUUUGGACCGGGAUAACACCUCGAAAGGGGUGCUAAUACCGGGUGAGGUCUCCGGCCCGCACGGGUUGGGGAGGAAAGGGGAAACCCGCCGAAGGAGGGGCUCGCGGCCCAUUAAUGGCGCACCAAGGCGACGAUGGGUAGCCGGCCUGAGAGGGUGAACGGCCACACUGGGACUGAGACACGGCCCAGACUCCUACGGGAGGCAGC